rnacentral:lncRNA from 1 species
UAUUAAGAGUCUAGGAUAUGAAUCGUAGAUAUCGCGUAACUUAGGAAAGCACCUUUCAUCAGCCUCUCAGAUUAUGUUAGCUAAUUCUUGGCUCUGAUCUCUUACCUAGAUCCAAAGCCCAGGAUGACUCCUCUCAAACAGUGAAACCGGGGUCAAUUUUUGCGGACACCACCCAAAGAAACAUGGAGAGGACCACCAUUAAGAAACAGGAAAAAACCUGUUGGUACAAUACAUAAACCCAGAUCUUCUCAUGGAUGUCCUGCCCCUGGUGCUGAGCAUGGGCACCUUGGUGAGUCUGAGGAAGGUCUCACGUCCCUUCCUCACUCUAGCAGUGGAAGAAGCACUACCACACUAGUCUGGGGUGACCUGCGGGCAUCACCCCACACCUGAGUGGAGGGGACCGUGGCUGUGGCCCCACGUUGGGGAUGGCCAGGAAGGAUGUGGAAGCCUUUGACUUAGAGCCGCUACUUGACAUCUGAGUUUUUCAUUUCAUUCUUUCCCUGCUUUCCCUCUGGAAUGUCUCUCUUUCAAAUAAAGAACAUGUUUGACGAGAGU